rnacentral:lncRNA from 1 species
ACAGCAAUUUGUAGGGCUGGGUGGAACACCCACAAACAAACCCAAUUAGAAGAAACCUCUGACAUGUUAGAUAAAGAUGACAAAAGGCCCGUCUCAGGCACCAAAGUUAGUCACCGUUGCUGAAAACAUGUCUGGAUUCCUGGGAAGUUCUUCAGGGUUUAGUUACUUGGGGCAAAGAGAAAACUUAGCAGCUGAGUUUAUUUUACAGAGACACCCAGGGAAGGGAGUGGAAGGAGCAGAUAGACCUGGAUAUAAACCCUGGCUCCCUGAGUACGGGUGUGGGCCAGUGUGCAGGGCACAGAGCCUUUCUGUGUCAAUGUGUGCUCAGCCUUGCACAAGCAUGCAUGUGUGUGUGUGUAUGUGGGUGUCUGUCUGUCUUACGUGGACAGGGAGUGCCUGAUACACAGUAGGUCCUCAUGCUGGCAAACCCCUUUUUGCUGGUACACUUUUCUUUCUAGAACCCUCAUUUUUCUGCCCUUCAAGUGAACGAUGUGAUUGAUUGAGUCACAGAUUGACACAUUCAUUCGUUUACUGUUCAGUACAUUCAGUACAAGUUUACUGUGUGCUUGCCAUGUGUUGGACACUGAAUUCAGCAAUGGGCAAUAUUCCAAGUAUUAGGGUCUUUCUCCAUUAUUCAAGUGCUGUUGACUCCAGUGAGGACACUGUGGGCAGGCGUGGAGAUGUGAUGUACCCUGAGCAGACAGACACUUGAGUUUCCAUUCCCAGCACCAGGGUGGUGCCAAGUACACAGUGACGUGCCACUCCCUUUGGACACGUUUAUUACAUUUACUGUCCUUUGUUCCCCCUGGAAUGCAAGCUGCACGAAGGCGGGGAUCUUCGUCUGUUUUGUUCACUGAUAUCCCCAGAGCCUAGUGCCCUGCUGAUAUAGUAGGCACUUGAUAUGUAUUUGUCGGAUGAACGGGUAAUAUAGUCACUCACAGGCAGCUUUCAGGAUGAGAAUGUUUGUCUGAUCCUCUCAUUUAUAAAAAUCCUCACAACAACUACUCUCCACCCUGUCCCCAGUGUUGAAAGAAUCUAUAGAGUAGAAAUAAUCAGCCCAUUGGCUAUUUCAAUAAUAUAUUUAGUUCUGAAAAGCUCUUAAUUGACUCUGACUCCUCUCUGAAUCCUUUCCUUAGACCUCCCUUAAAACUCUAGCCUGGUUUGUUCACUGUAGGACAAAGGAGUUUGUGAGACUCUGGCUCUGAAGGCUGCCUAGGAGCUUGGCAAAAGCGUCUGUCCGGAGUCCUGCAAUAACCACGCCCCUCACCCCUUUACGACCACACCCACUUAUUCCCGACCACGCCCACGCAUCCCUCCUUUAGUCCCAGCCCCUGUCCCCUUCAGGACCACGCCUACCCCCUCCCUGACCACUCCCAUCCCUAUAGGACUAGCCUCUCCUCCCCUCAGGACCACGCCCCACUCCCAUUCCAGGCCACGCCCACCCCAUUCAGGACCUCGCCCACCUCCUCCUCGGACCACGCCCAUUCUCCUCACGCCCACGCCCAGCUCAUCUUCCAUUCAGGUCUUCCACUCCGAGUGGACUUUUGGAAGCCUCUUUGAUGGUUGCAGCAUUAGUAGUAUUUCUCUGCACACAUUAUCCUGACGCCGAUUCAGACCACGUUCCCUUACCCCCUGACUUCGCUCAAAGACACAAAUCUCCAUACUUCUUCCUUCCAUUUGCUAUCUUAACUCCACCCACCAUCAUCACACGCAUAUUGUAGGAAAUUUAGAACAUAAAGGUGUAAAAAGCUGAAAAACUUCUAUCCAUUUAUUCUACUACUCUGAGGACUGGAGAUAAUCUUUUGGCCCGUUUCUAAUAGUCUAUUUCUUUUUCUUUAUGAGUUUAUUAGUAGGUUAUGCAGACAAUUUUGUGUUCUGUUUUUAUCAUUUAAAACGAUCUCCAUAUUACCCAUUUCUUUAAAAUAGUUUGUAAAUCUCUCUCUCUCUCUCUUUUUUUUCUUUUGAGACGGAGUUUUGCUCUCGUUGCCCAGGCUGGAGUGCAAUGGCGCGAUCUCGGCUCACCGCAACCUCCGCCUCACGGGUUCAAGCGAUUCUCCUGCCUCAGCCUACGGAGUAGCUGGAAUUACAGGGGCCCGCCACCACACCUGGCUAAUUUUUUGUACUUUUAGUAGAGACGGGGUUUCUCCGUGUUGAUCAGGCUUGUCUGGAACUCCCGACCUCAGGUGGAUCCACCCGCCUUGGCCUCUCAAAGUGCUGGGAUUACAGGCGAUAGCCUCCGUGUCCGGCCAAAUCUCAUUUUUAAAUGGCUGCUUAAUAAUUCAUGGUGUGAAUGAGGCAUCAUUUUUAAUUCCAGUUAACAAUUAGGUGACACAUGUAAUUGUGCACACUUCUUUGUCUGCAUUUUGACAUAUUUCCUAAGGAUUGAUUGCUCUAAGUAGCUUUACAAGGGGUCAGAGAGCACUGAUGUUUUUCUUUUUCUUUUUCUUUUUUUUUUCUAUUGUGGUAAAAUAUAUAUAACAUAAAAGUGACCUUUUAAUUGUUUUUAAAUGUAUUGUUCAGUGGCACUGAGUACAUUCAUAUUAUUAUACCACAAUCAACCCCAUCCCAAGUACAGUAUUUGUCUUUUUGUAACUGAUUAUUUCAUUUGGCAUAAUGUCCUCGAGCUCUACCCAUGUUGUGGCAUAUAUCAGUAUUCCCUUCCUUUUUGAGGCUGAAUAAUAUUCCAUUGCAUGUGUAUGUAUUACUUUUUUUUAAUAUGUAUUAUGUUUUAUUUAUCCAUUCAUCUGUCGUGGACAUUUGGGCUGUUCCCACCUUUUGGCUAUCGUGAAUAAUGCAGUUAUGAACAUGUGGGUGCACCAGCCUUUUAAAGAUUCUUAAUAAGCUUUAUCAUCUGGAAAAGUUGUACCAAUUUCCAUGUCCACUAGCAGUGGCUGCAUGACUGCCUAUUUUACUAUAUUCAGCACUUGACAGCAAUUUUCAAAAUGGAAGACCUGUGAAUAUUGAGGGGGACAUGCUGUAAUGAAAUUACAUGUAAUAAUAGGAAAAGGCUUAUUCUCUUUACCCACUCACCUACCCUUCUUCCUUCCAAACACCUACCCAUCCACCUAUCUGUCCACCUGCUCACUUACCCACCCUUUCUUCCACCCACCUAUCCAUCUACCUAUCCAUCACCCACCCACUUGCUCACCCAUCUACCCACCCACUCACCUGUACAGGUAUCCACCCACCUGUCUACUGGUCUUACAUAUUUAAUCCGCCUGCCCAUCCAUCAGUCCAUCCAUCCAUCCAUCCAUCCAUCAAUCCAUCAUCUAUCCACCCAUCCAUCCACCUAUCCAGCCAUCCAUCCACCCACCUAUCCAUCUACCCAUCCAUCCAUUCACCCAUCCGGUUAUCCACCCAUCAUCCAUCUAUCCACCUGUCCAUUCAUCCACCCAUCCACCCAUCUUUUCUGUCUUUUCCAGCUCCAUCUUCUUGAAGCUACUCUCUUAUUUGUUUACAACACAACAGAAUAAGAAGAUGAGAAUAUCUAAGAAUCGUUCUCUCUCUGUCCUUUAUUCCUGCAGGGGCAUCUGAAAGGUCACACUUUAUUACCUUUCUAAGUCAUUCCCCUGCUCCCUGCCUUGGGCCCCCAGUCUCUUUGAAAUUCCUCCAUUGAAUCUUUGAAUCUUUUAAAUAAAGAUCAAAUUUCUCUGCCUCCUCCCACCUCCUAGUUUGCACCAUGUUAUACUUUCAAUUGUUACUGUGGAGUUACAGUUUCACCAAGGAGCCUCCCCUGCUUUUGUUCUUUCCUAAGCAGGUGGGUUGGUGAGGUGGCUGCCUGUGAUUCUAGUGGCUUUUAUGGGGGGCCUUUGGCAGAGGAGGAGUUUCUGAGCUCUGAAAUAUCUCCUUUUGUAGAUAGCAUCUUGGGCCUGGAGCUAAGAGAAUUAAGAGGUAUUUACAAUGAUUUACAGCAAAUGUUAUACUAUGUUACAGUCUCACUUUGUCCUGAAAUUUGUAAGGCAAGAUCUGGUGUGCGUGUGUGUGUUUUAAUGUAAGCAUAAUGAUAGGCAUAUUAUAUGGGGGUAUUUCUAUAAAAAGUAGAAAACAACUAUAAUAUUUAUCUCUCUAUUAAUUCCCUGGAAGAUCAUCGGAGGGCUUGCUGUGUGCCAUGUGGCUGGGCACAGGGCAGUGGUGCCUGCCUCUUGCUGAAGGCAGCUGAAGGGGCCUGUGGCAGCAGCAUAUGGGGGGUCACCUGUAAAUAUCCGUCAGGUGCAGAGAGCAGGAAGCCAUCUGACAGCAGCACCCAUCACAGGAAUAUUUUUCUGGUUUUCUUCCCUCUCCUCCCUCUUUUUUUUUGAGAUGGAGUCUCACUCUGUUGCCCAGGCUGGAGUACAGUGGCUCAAUCUUGGCUCACUGCAACCUCUACCUCCUGAGUUCAAGUGAUUCUCCUGCCUCAGCCUCGUGAGUAGCUGGGAUUACAGGCACUCACCACCAUGCCCAGCUAAUUUUUGUAUUUUUAGUAGAGAUGAGAUUUCGCCAUGUUGGUCAGCCUGGUUUCGAACUCCUGACCGCAAGUGAUCUACCCGCCUUGGCCUCCCAAAGUGCUGAGAUUACAAGCGUGAACCACUGUGUCUGGCCCCUCUCCCUACUUUAACCCUGGUGGGGUCAGGAAGAACAGCCAGCACGGGAGAAAGGGAGAGGGCAAAGGAGGAUGGAUUCCUCUUCCUAUCUGGAGCCAGCCUGGGCUAGGGAGAAGAAAAUUCCAAGUUUAAAUUGAACUCUGAGUUUUGGUUAUUACCAAAUUGGGAUUGGCUAUUUCAUGCGGAAUUGAAACCAGGAUUAUGGCU